UUCCGGUUGAUCCUGCCAGAGGCUACUGCUAUCGGGGUCCGACUAAGCCAUGCGAGUUGAGAGGGGUAAGCCCUCGGCAUAUUGCUCAGUAACACGCGGAUAACCUGCCCUUGGAUUUGGGAUAACCCCGGGAAACUGGGACUAAUACCGGAUAGAUCAAAGAAACUGGAAUGUUCUCUGAUCGAAAGCUCCGGCGCCCAAGGAUGGGUCUGCGGCCUAUCAGGUAGUAGUGGGUGUAACGUACCUACUAGCCUACGACGGGUAAGGGUUGUGAGAGCAAGAGCCCUGAGAUGGAUUCUGAGACAUGAAUCCAGGCCCUACGGGGUGCAGCAGGCGCGAAAACUUUACACUGCGGGAAACCGCGAUAAGGGGACCCCGAGUGCCAGCACCUAGUGCUGGCUGUCCAGCUGUUCAAAUAACAGUUGUUAGCAAGGGCCGGGCAAGACCGGUGCCAGCCGCCGCGGUAACACCGGCGGCCCGAGUGGUAGCCGUUAUUAUUGGGUUUAAAGGGUCCGUAGCCGGCCUAUUAAGUCUCUUGGGAAAUCUGGCGACUCAAUCGUCAGGCGUUCAAGAGAUACUGGUAGGCUUGGGACCGGGAGAGGUGGGAGGUACUCCAGGGGUAGGGGUGAAAUCUCGUAAUCCUUGGGGGACCACCGAUGGCGAAGGCAUCCCACCAGAACGGGUCCGACGGUGAGGGACGAAAGCUGGGGGCACGAACCGGAUUAGAUACCCGGGUAGUCCCAGCCGUAAACGAUGCUCGCUAGGUGUCAGGUGCGGUGCGACCGCAUCUGGUGCCGCAGUGAAAACUUGAAGCGAGUCACCUGGGAAGUACGGUCGCAAGGCUGAAACUUAAAGGAAUUGGCGGGGGAGCACUACAACGGGUGGAGCCUGCGGUUCAAUUGGAGUCAACGCCGGG
rnacentral:rRNA from 1 species